CCUCCCCAUUUCAGCUUCAUGUGAUCGCCUAUGAGCCCUGUCCUUAAUCACAAUUAGUACUUUCUAUGGAGAAGGUGCGUGUUUAGCUGCACGUGUGUUCAGAAGACCCUGUUGGGCUUGGCAGGCACAGUCUUCUACCCACCUCCUCCCUGCAAGGGACUAAGAGAUUGGCUUUCCUUGCAAAAGCCUGGGGCCCUGGCGCAGUGCCCAGGAGCCGCACCCGAAUGCCUGCUGACACUUGCACCCUGGGUCCUUGCCUGCGGAGCCACCUACAGAAGGGGGUGCAGCCACAGGGCCGUGCUUACCCCGCCCAGCUCUGGCAUGCCCUCUGCUGCGCCCUCACCAACAGCCCAAGGUUGUGCAUGGCUCUUGCUGACUCCACAGUGGAGGAAUUAAGGGCUGAAUUCGUUCUGCUGAGUCCCUGGGCCUCUGCUUAUCCGAAGGGCAUGGGGAUUCAUUUUGGAAAAUCCUGGAGAUUACACGCAGGCUUUCUGCCAGGGCUGUUGGAGAAUUUAAGAGACGCACGGCAUGUGUCGUAACACAGGGAGAAAAGGAAGGCUGACGUCUCCUGAGGUGCCCUGACGAAAUCGGAACUUUUGGACCCCAGGGGAGGAGACUUAAAAUAGGCAAGCUUGCCAGGGGAGGGUGCAUGCCCCAAUUGCAGUAAGCCAGCUGAGCAGGACAAAAGCCCCUGUAUGGAUUCUGACAGAACAGGGACCCAGGACACCACAGUAAACCUGACUUGUACCAGAGCAAGCCAAGAACAUGAAGAGCAGACAUCUGGACAACCAAAAUGCAACUCCAGUCAAA